rnacentral:rRNA from 1 species
CAGUAGCCGCGGGAAUACGUAGGGUGCAAGCGUUGUCCGGAAUUAUUGGGCGUAAAGAGCUCGUAGGCGGUUUGUUGAGUCUGUUGUGAAAUCCCGAGGCUCAACCUCGGGAUUGCAGUGGGUACUGGCAGACUAGAGUGUGGUAGGGGGUAGUGGAAUUCCUGGUGUAGCAGUGAAAUGCGUAGAGAUCAGGAGGAACACCGAUGGCGAAGGCAGAUCUCUGGACCGUAACUGACGCUGAGGCGCGAAAGCGUGGGGAGCGAACAGGAUUAGAUACCCCAGUAGUCCCUGUCUCUUAUAC